CUAACUAUCGCAGUCCGAUCGAAAGCAAAUAAUCGGACCAAUCCAAUGCCGCACUUUUCCAUUCCAUCGUACGGCCCGCAUACAUUGAGGCUUCACAAGAGAAAAAAAAACAAAUUGUGGCCUGAUAACGUCUCCUCCCCGAAAUUACCGUGUGGUACACAGCUCCUGGAUUUCUCAUCCCAAAUCCUUAUGUCGCCGCAUGUGCUCUCACCAUCGCGCCGCCACUCCUCUCACCUCCACGCCUCCACCUCUCACCCUUCCCAAACGUGCGCCUCCACCUGGUUCGGGCCCUGCAUCUGCACGCAUCUGCUCAGCCACGGGAAGCUUUCAUCGGGGCCUCCCUGACCGGCAGCGGCCGGCGGCCAGCGGUCUGGAGUAGGCGGCGGCAUAGCCGUACCGACCAAGAUACACUCCACACGAACUAGCAGAUCAGAGUCUGCUUCCUUAAUGACUACACGAUCCGGGAGUAGCACACAUCUCCAUACCAUGGAGGAGGCCGAGCCAGAUUCUAUGGUGAAAGGUUGCUUUGUAGUGUGGUCUUGUAGUUUCUAGGACUUGAUGGGUGUCCUCCCUCCGACUCCUUUCACACCGAUGUUCAGUCCAUCCACACAUGCCGGUGGUGGUGACUAGUGAUUUCGAUUGGAAGCAUGUACUAGUGAGUUCUGAAGCAAUACCAGUACACCUAGGAAGCAACUAACUUGAAUGUGUACCACAUAUGUGUUGAUCCUUUGUUGAAGCAAGAAAUGAAGGAAGCAUGUUUCAUUUA